rnacentral:tRNA from 1 species
GCGGGUAUCGUAUAACGGCUAUUAUGUGACCUUCCCAAGGUUAAGACACGGGUUCGACUCCCGUUACCCGCUCCA